AACGAACGCUGGCGGCAUGCCUAACACAUGCAAGUCGAACGAGACCUUCGGGUCUAGUGGCGCACGGGUGCGUAACGCGUGGGAAUCUGCCCUUGGGUUCGGAAUAACAGUGAGAAAUUACUGCUAAUACCGGAUGAUGUCUUCGGACCAAAGAUUUAUUGCCCAAGGAUGAGCCCGCGUAGGAUUAGCUAGUUGGUGGGGUAAUGGCCUACCAAGGCGACGAUCCUUAGCUGGUCUGAGAGGAUGAUCAGCCACACUGGGACUGAGACACGGCCCAGACUCCUACGGGAGGCAGCAGUGGGGAAUAUUGGACAAUGGGCGAAAGCCUGAUCCAGCAAUGCCGCGUGAGUGAUGAAGGCCUUAGGGUUGUAAAGCUCUUUUACCAGGGAUGAUAAUGACAGUACCUGGAGAAUAAGCUCCGGCUAACUCCGUGCCAGCAGCCGCAGUAA
rnacentral:rRNA from 1 species